rnacentral:rRNA from 1 species
UACGAAGGGGGCUAGCGUUGUUCGGAAUCACUGGGCGUAAAGCGCACGCAGGCGGAUCGAUAAGUCGGGGGUGAAAGCCCGGGGCUCAACCUCGGAAUUGCCUUCGAUACUGUCGGUCUCGAGUCCGGGAGAGGUGAGUGGAAUUCCUAGUGUAGAGGUGAAAUUCGUAGAUAUUAGGAAGAACACCAGUGGCGAAGGCGGCUCACUGGCCCGGUACUGACGCUCAGGCGCGAAAGCUAGGGGAGCAAACGGG